ensembl:lincRNA
AUGAAGGCAGUAACUCACUGUCCUGCUAGACCACAAUCAACUUGGCUAUUCCUUCCAGAGCUGAGCUGUUUCCUGUCAAUGACUAUAAUACAGCGUGGUCACAAAUACCUAUCUGCAAAUCCUUUUUCUUUUUCAAUUCUUUCCCCAGAACGUAUUCCCCAAUGUGAAGUAACUUCAUCUUACAAUCAUUUCUUUCACUCCUGUCAAGUCCUGCCAAACCCAUCUCCAGGAAGAAGCAUUUAUCAUGCCAGGAGAGAUCGGAAGAGACCAAGGGGCCAGGCCUUAGAGAGCCCAUGGGGUAAUGAUGGGUGCCCCUGCCCGCCCGCCCUGCCGCUGACAGGCCUUGUGGCACAUGGGGUGAGAGUCUGGUGUGAACAGACCCUGAGGACCCUGCUGUGUGUGAGCUGCCGGGGCGGGGGUUGGGCAGGGAGGACACAGCAGAGGGUCUACGGGGGCAGAGUCCCCUUGACUCCUGGCAGGUGGGGCGGAACAACGGGCUUCAAUUGCCGGGGCCCCAAGUCCCAGGGCCCCAAGUCCCAGGGCCCCAAGUCCCAGGGCCCCAAGUCCCAGGGCCGGGUACACCUGCCUCCCGGACCGCCCCCCUCCCCCUCCGCAGCAGCAUCACAGGAACUGGGGGCCCCCCAACUUCCUGCCCCGACGGCCCCGCAAUGGGCUCUGGAGAAGUCAGAGGGGCGGCUGAGGGGAAGGGGCUGCCCGGCUCUUUCCUUCCAGCUUCUCGGAUUCCGGGUCCGAGCCCCGGCUCCCCCAGCCCUUUUCUUUCCGCCCAUCUUGCUGCUGGAGGCCUCCUCCUUUCCGAGGAGCCUCUGGAGGGUCGGAGUCACGUGAGGCUCCGUCUGCGAAUGCCCCCCGCAUCCGGCACAGUGGCCAGUGAAAUACUUGAUAAAGAAAUUUGGGGCGUUUCCCCCAAACUUCCAGAAAGUAGCGGCUGGGCCGAGGGUCGGGGCGGGCAGCGCUGAGAGAGUGCGAAGGGGGUUUCCCAGGGAGACCUCAGCUCUCUGGCCCCGGAGAGAGGCGCCUCCCCUCUGCUCCCGCCCUCUGGGUCUCUGUCCCCCUCCCCUCCCUUCCUCUUCCUCCGGCCGUCUCCCUUCCCCCACCCCCUCCAGUCCACCUCUCCCUCUAGCCGCCCCCCAAGCCCCCUCCUUACCUAGCUUGGGCUCCAGGACCCAGAGCUGGGGGACCCCCCGCCCCAGCCCUCGGAGACCCUGAUGCGGCUGUUGCCGGGCUCCCGAGAGAGAAACAAAACUGAAACUAAUCGUACUUCUGCAACUUCCGUCCCAGGCCCGGGACACGGACUAGAACCGCCGCAGGCCCCGCCCUCUUCCCUCCCCAGCCUGGACCUCUUCCUCGGGAGGGGGCGGGGGGCCUUCCCCCAUCAGCGGGGCACAGUCCCCGCCCGCAGGCUCCCGGGCUUCGUGCGGGCUGGGUUAGCUAUCGCGGCUGGAGUCUCCGAGGUCGGCCUGUCCGUUUGAGCCUGGGGAUUUGCUCAGCCUGCUAAGUGUGUCUGUCGCAAGGGCAGGGCAGCUGCCUGAGGAUGUAUCCUCUAAGGGAAGAAAUGAGAGAUCUUAGGUGAUUCUCGGAGACGCAGGGUAACCAGAGCCCCGGCCUCGGGCCAGGCUUCCAGGGCUGCGGCAUCCAGCCCUAGGUGAGGCCCUUCUACCACAAUUCUCUGCUGAGAUUCUGGAGGGGGUCCUGGAGGAGGUGUCCCUUGAGAUGAGUCAGAAGAGUGCAAAGGGGUCGGGGAUGGCCAGAGGAGAACGCAGGGAAGGGCAUUCCAGGAAUUGGGAACAGCGAGGUGGGCCCAGAGGAAUGAGACACCACAUACUCUGCGGGGGCUCCCAAGUAAUUCAGGAUGGUUUGUGGGAGAAAUUACGGUUGCCAGGGGGAAGGAUGGGGGAAGAGAUAGGGAGGCUGGGCAUGGGCGUGUGUACACUGCCAUGUAUACACUGCCAUGUUUAAAAUGGACAACCCACAAGGUCCUACUGUAUAGCAUAGGGAACUCAAUGUUAUGUGGCAGCCUGGAUUGGAGGGAAGUUUAAGAGGGAUUAGAUACAUGUACAUGGGCUUCCCAGGUGGAGCAGUGGUAAGGAAUCCACCUGCCAAUGCUGGAGAUGCAGGAGACGCAGGUUCUAUCUUCCAGGGGAAGACCUCCUGGAGGAGGAAAUGGCAACCCCCUCCAGUACUCUUCCUUGGAGAAUCCCAUGGACAGAGGAGCCUGGCGGGCCACAGUCCGUGGGGUCACAAAGAAUUGGACAUGACUGAGCACGCACGCACGGAUACGUGUAUAUUUAUGGCUGAGGCCCUUUGCAGUCCACCUGAAGUUAUCACAACAUUGCUAAUCGGCUGUACCCCAGUACAAAAUAAAAAAAGUUAAAAAAUAAAAAAGGAACAAUGUGUGGGAAAGGGACAUGUCACUAGUAGCAGAUGAUGUCACCGAGGAAGCAGCGGCUGGAUCACAGAGAGUCUUAGGGUCUACAUGACAGAGUCUGAGAUAAGACAGAGUCUUCCCCAAAGCCAAAAGAAGCCAUCGAAGGACAUUUCCCCCAACACCUUCUGGAAAUUAUGAAGCACAAAGGAGUCGAAAGAAUUGCAACAAACACCCCCAUGUCUAUCCCCUAGUUUCUGCAGUUAACACCUUGCCAUAGUUGAUUCAUCAUACAGCUACCCAGGUAGGCAUCCGUUUAUUCACAGGGACAGGAUUUCAGGAAGAAACACAACCGGUGAGAACUCACUCUGGCAUCAGCCAAGAGAACAGAGGGGAGCUUGUUUUCCAGGUGGAAAGCGGAGGGGUCUGAGCUGACACAGCACCACUAGGGGCAGGGUUGGGGGUGGAAGAGGGGAGCCUCAGGAGUGAGCAAGCUGGUACAGGUAACAGCAGCUGAGGUCUUGUAAUUGGCCCUGUGAGGGAGAUGACAGAAGGAGAGCAGGAAGUCCUUCGGGUUUUGGAGACCUGGAGGUCAGCACAGAGGGCUCAGCGGGUGAUAACCCGGGCUUGUGACUUUUCCAGACUUUUCCAAUGAAUCUGUGGUUUUGAUGAAGUUUGCCCAGCAGAGUCCAAAGUGAGACGAGCAGGGCUGAGAUGGCACUAAGAAAACAUGUUCAAGGGCAAGUGGGGGAAGGGCCUGGGGCGAGAAGAGGCUGAGGGGUACUUCCAGAGACGUAGGUGGAAAUCCGAGAGAGAGAAGGUCCCAGAAACCUCGGCUGGAGGAUGCUGCACCUCCAGAAGGGGGAGGCGGUCACUGCAGCCCAAAUGCUGCAGACUGGACGGUCAGCCAUGAUGAGCACAGAAGAACAUACUGACCACGUGUGUCCCCAAGUGUGUGUACACACCUGUGCAUGCGCGUACAGACCCCGUGUGUGCUUGUCCUUGCACAGUCAAGGAAGAUUUCCUGGAUGGCUACCUAGUGGCUCAGUGGUAAAGAAUCCACCUGCCAAUGUAGGAGACGUGGUGGGUUUGAUUCCUGGGUCUGGAAGAUCCCCUGGAGGAGAGCAUGGCAACCCACUCCAGUAUUUUUGCCUGGGAAAUCCCAUGGACAGAGGAACCUGGUGGGCUACAGUCCAUGGGGUUGCAGAAGAGUCAGACAUGACUGAGCCCAGGGGCAGUUUAUAAUCCCUGGUGGUCCAGUGGUUAGGACUCUGUGCUUCCACUGCAGGGGGCACGGGUCAGAUCUUUGGUUGGGUAACUAAGAUACCCCUGGAGUGGGUUGCCAUUUCCUUCUCCAGGGCAUCUUCCCAACCCAGGGAUCAAACCCACAUCUCCUUCAUUGGCAGGUGAGUUCUUUACCCCUAAGGCACCAAACAUAACCUGAUUUAAUCCUCACAGUAACCUCAUAAGGUAGGUAGCAUUCUUGCCCCCAUUUUACAGAUGAGGAAACUGAGUAAUAGAAUAAGUCACCCAAGGUCACACAAAAUGCUGUGGCAACACAGAGAGAAAGUGUGAUUUCUCCUGGAAUGGUGGGGGUGGUGGUGGUGGUUGUGUGGGAAUCAGGAAGGCCUCAUGAAAGAAGCAGCAUUGUAAUGAUUGCCCUUCCCUCACCCCGAACGUCGAACAAUUGUUUAAAGUGUGAAGCAGACCUCAGGAAAUUGGUUUCUUCUGCCUGAAAUCAGGCAUCCAAAUCAAGGGGUAACUCCGCUUACAACCCAGUGGUUAAGUGUUACCAUGGAGACCUGGGGAGAAGGAGGAGUUCCUGCCAGAUGCUGGGGUUUCCUCAAGAAGCCUCUGCUGCUGGGUGUUCCGAUAAGAUGGGAGUGCGGGUGGGUGGAGGGAUGUGGCAGGAGAUGGGAGCAUGCAGGCAGAACGAACUUCACCAUUUCUUAUUGAGAAUCCUGAAAGACCUUAAGGUAAUGGGGAGCCAUUAUAGAAUUUUUAUUAGGCAAGUUUGGACUCUUUCUGCAGGUACUUGGGGGUGAGAUUAAAAGCAAAGGUUUUUGAUCUUAAUUUAUACAAAUAUGCAUAAUUGAAAAUAAAAUUUAAAAGACUCAUAUCAUCAUUAUAACAAAAUAACUCUUUUUUCGCUAUGUGUAUUUCCUCUGGCCUCUGUCCUUGUGAGUAUAUUUCACACAGCUGCGUAUAUAUAUUUAUACAUAUCUGACAUAGUUGUAUAUAUAGCGUACAUGUACUUUUUGUCUACUCGUCAAUCUCAACACACAUGCGUCUCAGGGUUGGGAAAUUCUCCUCAAGUAUUUCGUUGCUUCUUUCCCCUUUGCUUUCUCUGUUUUCCCAUCUGGAACUUCCAUUAUUCGGUUUUUGCAUCUCCCAGAUGGUCUUCUAAUUUUAUAUCUAAUCUUCUUUUCUUUUUUUUUUUUUGUACUACUUUUUGGGAGGUUUCCUCUAACUUAAACUUUCAGUCCUUGUGCUUUCCUUCGAAUCUGCUGCCACGAUGCUAAUUCACGAGUUCCUUUUAUCGUUUACUUCUCUGAGGAUGUAAAUGACGGUAUUGUUAUUGUCAUUGCUGUGGUUGUUGGUGGUGGUGUGUGUGACGUGUGUGAGAGAGAGUUUUCUUCGUCUUGCACAGUAUCUGUUCCUUCCAAGCUGUGGUUUCCUUCCCCUCUCUUUCCCUUCCUUCCUCCUUUUUCAGGUGACUGUAGUAU